CCUACGGGUGGCAGCAGUGAGGAAUAUUGGUCAAUGGGCGCGAGCCUGAACCAGCCAAGCCGCGUGAAGGAUGACUGCCCUACGGGUUGUAAACUUCUUUUAUAAAGGAAUAAAGUGAGGCACGUGUGCCUUUUUGCAUGUACUUUAUGAAUAAGGAUCGGCUAACUCCGUGCCAGCAGCCGCGGUAAUACGGAGGAUCCGAGCGUUAUCCGGAUUUAUUGGGUUUAAAGGGAGCGUAGAUGGGUUGUUAAGUCAGUUGUGAAAGUUUGCGGCUCAACCGUAAAAUUGCAAUUGAUACUGGCAGUCUUGAGUGCAGGUGAGGUAGGCGGAAUUCGUGGUGUAGCGGUGAAAUGCUUAGAUAUCACGAGGAACUCCGGUUGCGAAGGCAGCUUACUAAACUGCCACUGACAUUGAGGCUCGAAGGUGUGGGUAUCAAACAGGAUUAGAUACCCUUGUAGUC
rnacentral:rRNA from 1 species